GCAAAUGAUGAGUUAAAACAUUCUUCACUUUGACCUGAUUGACAGGUGAUGAUAAAUUUGACUGAAC
rnacentral:snoRNA from 1 species